rnacentral:rRNA from 1 species
AUACGGAGGAUGCGAGCGUUAUCCGGAUUUAUUGGGUUUAAAGGGUGCGUAGGCGGAAUGGUAAGUCAGUGGUGAAAUGGUGCAGCUCAACUGUAGCAUUGCCAUUGAUACUGUCAUUCUUGAGUACAGAUGAGGUAGGCGGAAUGUGGUGUGUAGCGGUGAAAUGCUUAGAUAUACCACAGAACACCGAUUGCGAAGGCAGCUUACUAAGCUGACACUGACGCUGAAGCACGAAAGCGUGGGUAUC